UACGUAGGGUGCGAGCGUUGUCCGGAAUUAUUGGGCGUAAAGAGCUCGUAGGCGGUCUGUCGCGUCGGUCGUGAAAACCUGCAGCUUAACUGUGGGCGUGCGGUCGAUACGGGCAGACUAGAGUUCGGUAGGGGAGACUGGAAUUCCUGGUGUAGCGGUGAAAUGACGCAGAUAUCAGGAGGAACACCGGUGGCGAAGGCGGGUCUCUGGGCCGAAACUGACGCUGGAGGAAGCGAAAGCGUGGGGAGCAAACAGG
rnacentral:rRNA from 1 species